rnacentral:rRNA from 1 species
AUGGAGGAGCCAACACAUACACCACCGCGCAACAAGGCCAAGAAGGAGAUCAAGUCGCCGCCGCCGCCGCCCCUCACGAUGAGCUCGCUCUCGCUGCAGCGCAAGAAGCUCGGCUCCCACUUCCUCGAGAGCGACGAACGCCGCCGCUUCUACGGCGCGUCCGCUGCGAUCGGCACGACGCCGCUGGACAUCCGGGGCGCGCCGAUCCCGGAGCGCGACCUCGCGCGCACGGGCGGCUGGGUGGCCGCCUUCUUCAUCUUCGGCAACGAGACGGCGGAGCGGAUGGCCUACUACGGCCUCAGCGUCAACAUGGUGGUCUUCAUGUUCAAGGUCAUGCACCUCCCCUUCGCCGCCUCCGCCAACGCCGUCAACAACUUCCUCGGCAUCUCCCAGGCCUCCUCCGUGCUCGGCGGCUUCCUCGCCGACGCCUACCUGGGCCGCUACUGGACCAUCGCCGCCUUCACCACGCUCUACCUGCUGGGCCUCAUCGCGCUCACGCUCUGCGCCACGCUGCCCGCGCUCGCGCCGGCGCAGGACGGGUGCGACAAGCUCGCCAUGCUGCUCGGCGGCUGCGCGCCGGCCCAGCGGUGGCAGAUGGCCUACCUCUACACGGCGCUCUACGUCACGGCGUUCGGCGCCGCGGGGAUCCGGCCCUGCGUGUCCUCGUUCGGCGCCGACCAGUUCGACGACCGGAGCGCGGGCUACAAGCGCCGGCUCGACCGCUUCUUCAACCUCUUCUACCUCGCCGUCACGGUGGGCGCCAUCGCCGCCUUCACGCUGGUGGUGUACAUCCAGAUGCACCGCGGCUGGGCGGCCGCGUUCGGCGCGCUGGCGCUGGCCAUGGGCGCCUCCAACGCGCUCUUCUUCGCCGGCACGCCGCUGUACCGGCACAAGGCGCCCGGGGGCAGCCCGCUGACCAGGGUGGCGCAGGUGCUCGUGGCCGCCUUCCGGAAGCGGAACGCCGACUUCGGCGACGGCAGCUACGUGGGGCUGUACGAGGUGGCCGGGGCCAAGUCGGCGAUCCGCGGCAGCGGCAAGAUCGAGCACACGGACGACUUCCGGUGGCUGGACAAGGCGGCGCUCCGGCUCGACGACGACGGCGAGGAGGAAGAGGAGCAGGAGGAGGACCCGUGGCGGCUGUGCACGGUGACGCAGGUGGAGGAGGUGAAGAUCCUGGCGUACACGCUCAACACCGGGCUCCUCGCCGGCGCCGUGCGCCUCCCGGUGACGUGCAUGCCGGUGUUCCCCUGCCUGGCCAUCUUCCUGGUGCUGGCGCUCUACUACCAGACCUUCGCGCCGCUGGCCCGCCGGAUCACCGGCCACCCGCACGGCGCGUCGCAGCUGCAGCGGGUCGGGCUGGGGCUCGUCUUCUCCAUCCUCUCCGUGGCCUGGGCCGGCGCCUUCGAGCGGUACCGGCGGCGGUACGCGGUGGAGCACGGGUACCUGGGCCUGUUCCUGACGCCGAUGCCGGGGCUGAGCGCCUACUGGCUGCUCAUCCAGUACUGCCUCAUCGGGGUCGCCGAGGUGUUCUGCCUCGUGGGGCUCAUCGAGUUCCUCUACCAGGAGGCGCCCGACGCGAUGCGCAGCGUGGGGUCGGCCUACGCGGCCGUCGCCGGCGGGAUGGGCUGCUUCAUGGCCACAGCGCUCAACAACGCCGUCGACGCGGCCACCGGCGACCCCGUGAACGGCAGGCCGUCGUGGCUGGCGCAGAACAUCAACGUCGGGAGGUUCGACUACCUCUACUGGCUGCUCGCCGUGCUCAGCACGCUCAACUUCGCCGUCUUCCUCUACUUCGCCAGCAUCUACAAGUACAGAACGCCGCCGCCGACCACCGCCGGCACCAACGGCAGCAGCAAGGGGGAGGUCUCGGUGGUGUCCGACCACAAGUGA